rnacentral:rRNA from 1 species
CUUGUCCGGUUUUCCGAGGGAUCCAAACGAGACAUGUUAGUUCAGAUAAGGACACAUCAAUAAAUAAGGAAGCAAAAGAGACGGGUGUUUGGCUUGCCUCGGAUUUUCCCUUUUUUUUGGAAAGGGGAGCCGGAUUUCCUUUAGAGGUUUGGGAUCGUGCAGGAGGCGGCGGGGGGGCGGCGGGUACCGCGUCGAACAGGCUGGAGCGCUGGCGAUGUUGGUUGGUUUCGUGGGGAGAGGGGAGAGGAGGGGAGGAGGCUGCGAGCCUCCGCUGGUCGUUGGGUGCAGGGAUAAAGCAGCAGGGCUGGAUUAAGAAGAAGGGCUGCCAGCUGCUUAGAGAUAGAUGCUUCUAUCCGUACCUCAAGAGCAGUGGCUACGGGAGGCGACCAGCUGUGCUGGGCAGCUUCUACAGAUGUACCUUCAGGAGAUGCUAGAGGUCUGCUCAGGCGCGCUAGAAGGUGGGGGGUAGCGCCUCGGGCAGGCUGCGGCGGUGGCGCCGUCUCUACGGGUAGUUGGGGGAUAGGCUACAUAAGAAGGACUGUUCGCUUAUUAGGUACGGAUGUUACUAUCCGUGCCCCAAGAGCAGUGGCUGCUGUACCUGCCCAGCUGUGCUGCACAGCUUCUAGAGAAGUCCCUUCAGUAGAGGCUGGACGGGGCGAUAGCAGGUGGCGGGGUGUACCGCUUCGGGCGGGCUGCGGUGGUGGAGCCGGCUGCGGUGGUGGAGCCACCGCUAGGGGUGUUUGGGGAAGAAUAGGAUACAGAAGAAGGACUAUUGGCGUAUUAAUACGGAUGUUACUAUACAUACCCAAAGAGCAGUGGUUUCUGUACUUGCCCAACUGUGCCGGGCAGGUUCUACAGAAGUCCCUUCAGGAGAUUCUGGAGACCUGCUCCGGGGCGCUAAGAGGUGGCGGCCAACAACUACGGUGGCUCCUUCUAGUCUGACGUCGGCUUGUUUGCCGGUGAGGUUCGGGACUAGGGAGGCCUAGCGUUAAGUAGCUACUAGACGACUUGUCUCGAAGACAACGGGUUUUCGACUUCGACCGAGUUUCCGCACUCCUGUCUCUUGGUUGACAGAACCGGAGCUUCCUCGAAGAACCGUGAUGUUGUGACCUCCUCAGUAGUUAAUGAUUACGAAGCAGAGACGACGUCGGAUGUGACGCACUCCUGUUUCUUGGUUUACAGAACCGGAGUUUCCUCAAUGAACCGUGAUGUUGUGACCUCAGUUAGUGAUUGCGAAGGAGAGACGACGUCGGAUGUGGCGUACUCCUGUCUCUUGGUUUACAGGACCGGAGCUUCCUCGACGAACUGUGAUGUUGUGACCUCAGUUAGUGAUUGCGAAGGACAGGCGACGUCGGAUGUGGUAACGUCGGUCUAUACAACAGUAGGUUCCUGCGAAGGAAGUGUACCCGUCUCCUCCACUGAGGGAGCGACUGCGGUGGGUAAAACCGGGCCUUUGGACGGCCUACCUUAGUAGUUAAAAAGUAGUCUCAUCUAGAACCCCCUAAAAAGGUGUGCAUAGGACUCGACCCACCCGGCAAGGCCUCGAACCUCCUUCGAUUCUUCCGAUAUGAGACGGUGGAACUAUUUGAUGCACUAACUUUUUACACGUGUUUGCUACCCGAAAGGUCAAGCCUCUAACGAUAUGCUCUACGAGAAGUGACCGGUCUACCGUGCUCCUUCAUAAGAAGCUCUAGGUUAGGCCUACUUCUAGUAUACCCCGAUAACCAAGUUCGAAACAACCUGUUCAUGUUACUCCUCUUAUUAGAAAACCCCCUACUACGUAUAUUACAACUUCUACAGCACUCGAAGGUUCUUCAAAUACUCCCGUUUCCACCGACCAUGAUGGCAGACUUAACAUGAUCUUUCUGAUUUCCACCGCAGCUGUUAGAGAAGAAACGACUUCAGAACUCUUACUUAUCUCCUGAUGUUAAGUUCGAGUGGACAGAGGUAUACCAAUUUGGACGACAACUAUUGCCAUGUACGAUACCAACAUUUUUUUGGUUACAAUCAUACUUCGUGGGGUAACUGCGACCAUUUAUGUUUCCACCGGUGCUAGGGAGCACCGGUGGUGCCGAAACGUACCAAGAAGGUGGCCUAAACGGACUCCCAAAACUACGAUUCUACUUUCGAUACCUCCUUUCCUAAUCUAUAGUUAAGGUCCUGAGACUACACAACUAUAGCCUACGACCUUCUUGACGACGACGACUACCAAACCUGUUCUCGGUCGACCCUUCUUCCCCGAAGGGUCGACGACUACGAUCUUACUUGUUCCUUUCCUGACCUAUACAUAUGCCCCUGGCACUACACCGUUUUAGCCUACGACCUUCCGGACGACGACCAAACCUCCCUUUCACCCCGUGCAUGCAAUAUGGCGGCUACGCAGACUUCCAAACUCUUCUACCUGCCAUAUAGUCAAACCUUAAUGACAGGCUACCAGUUUGUUUUUUCACCAAUACCCUGUCAAUUUUCAAAAUAAAACGUACAGAAACUUAGUGUACCGAUCUAGCAGCAAAAGAUCGUACACACCAUGUAGGUUGUAGGUGUAUACGUCCGCCCUGCUUAACGUUCAAAAUAAAACGUUCUGAUCGGACUGCAUUUAGUUUCAACAGUGCAUGUUGAGGGUUUGGUAAGAACAUAUUCUUUCUUUGGGAAUUUAUUUGCCGCUGCGUGUACGUGGCUUAUUAGACAUGAACGGUGUCGAUCCGUAGAGCGCCACGGACACCAAAAUAUUUAAACUGUUUACAUUCAUCCGGCUGG